GAGUUUGAUCCUGGCUCAGAACGAACGCUGGCGGCGUGCUUAACACAUGCAAGUCGAACGAAGCACCCCAUCCGAAAGCGGAAGCAGCUUGCUGCGGAAGAUUUCACCCGGGGUGACUGAGUGGCGGACGGGUGAGUAACGUGUGGGUAACCUGCCCCAUAGAGGGGGACAACAGUUGGAAACGACUGCUAAUACCGCAUAGUAAGGAACUGCCGCAUGACGGUUUCUUGAAAGAUUUAUCGCUAUGGGAUGGACCCGCGUCUGAUUAGCUAGUUGGUAAGGUAACGGCUUACCAAGGCGACGAUCAGUAGCCGGCUUGAGAGAGUGAACGGCCACAUUGGGACUGAGACACGGCCCAAACUCCUACAGGAGGCAGCAGUGGGGAAUAUUGCACAAUGGGGGAAACCCUGAUGCAGCGACGCCGCGUGAGUGAAGAAGUAUUUCGGUAUGUAAAGCUCUAUCAGCAGGGAAGAUAAUGACGGUACCUGACUAAGAAGCCCCGGCUAACUACGUGCCAGCAGCCGCGGUAAUACGUAGGGGGCAAGCGUUAUCCGGAUUUACUGGGUGUAAAGGGUGCGCAGGUGGCAGGGCAAGUCAGAUGUGAAAGCCCGGGGCUCAACCCCGGUAUUGCAUUUGAAACUGUCCGGCUAGAGUGCAGGAGAGGUAAGCGGAAUUCCUAGUGUAGC
rnacentral:rRNA from 1 species